AAGUGAGGCUCUGCUGUAGUCCUGUUCUUCUGGCUCUAAGAUCUGAAUGUUGUGACCACUAAUUUGCUCUUUCCUGGAGGGUAACCCCAGUUUGGUCCACAAGGCUUGCUGCCCAAUCCUUGCCAACAGUUGAACCAAGACUCUGAGGCUGAUAUGCAAUGUCACUUACAACAUUAAUCAGAUACUGCAUUUAAGGUGAGCUGUCCCUUGCCUUCUCCUUCCCCAGUGCUCGUGUGCUGCAUGCAGUGCGUAUCUUGCUUCUGCGAGCCUAA
rnacentral:lncRNA from 1 species